rnacentral:rRNA from 1 species
GAUGAACGCUGGCGGCGUGCUUAACACAUGCAAGUCGAACGAUGAAGCCUAGCUUGCUGGGUGGAAGAGUGGCGAACGGGUGAGUAACACGUGAGUAACCUGCCCAUGACUCUGGGAUAAGCGCUGGAAACGGCGUCUAAUACUGGAUAUGCACAGCGGCUGCAUGGUCAGUUGUGGGAAAGAUUUAUCGGUCAUGGAUGGAAUCGCGGCCUAUCAGAUCGUUGGUGAGGCAAUGGCUCACCAAGGCGACGACGGGUAGCCGGCCUGAGAGGGUGAACGGCCAGUCUUUGACUAAGAAACGUACCAGACUCCGACGGGAAGCAGCAGUGGGGAAUAUUGGACAAUGGGCGCAAGCCUGAUGCAGCAACGCCGCGUGAGGGAUGACGGCCUUCGGGUUGUAAACCUCUUUAAGUAGGGAAGAAGCGUAAGUGACGGUAGCUGCAGAAAAAGCACCGGCUAACUACGUGCCAGCCGCCGCCGUAA